AGCCCUCCUCUAGCUCAACUAUAAUUCUACCUCCAUAUAAACAAUCAACUAAAGCACUAAACUAAAACAUUCUAUAUACUUAGUACAGGCGAUAGAAAAGUCACUUGACGCAAUAGAGACCUCCGUACCGUAAGGGAAAGAUGAAAUAAUAGUGAAAAAGCAAGCAAGAAAUAGCAAAGACUAACCCUUGUACCUUUUGCAUCAUGAUUUAGCAAGAAUACUCAAGCAAAGUGAACUUAAGCUUGCCACCCCGAAACCCAAGCGAGCUACUUACAAGCAGCUACCAUGAGCGAACCCGUCUCUGUAGCAAAAGAGUGGGAAGACUUGUUAGUAGAGGUGAAAAGCCAAUCGAGCUGGGUGAUAGCUGGUUGCCUGUAAAACGAAUCUAAGUUCACCCCUAAUUUUUCCCCUCCCGGACACUUAAUUAGCCUUAUAUAUGAGGAGAGUUAGGAGAAAUUUAAAGGAGGUACAGCUCCUUUAAAGAAGAAUACAUUCUACACCAGAGGGUAACUCAUUUCCCCCAACACACGUAGGCCCUAAAGCAGCCACCAUUAGAGAGUGCGUCAAAGCUCACUUAUAUUAAAAAUCUAAAAACAUCAGGAACCCCUCAACCACUAACAGGCUAACCUAUGAUAAUAGGAGAAUUAAUGCUAAAAUGAGUAAUUAGAAGAUCCUUCUCUCAAGCGCAGGCUUACAUCUAACAUUAUUAACAGACCGACUUAUAUCUACACCAACAAGAACACAUAUAGAAUUACCCUGUUAACCCAACUCAGGAGCGCUUAUUAGAAAGAUUAAAAUCUGCAAAAGGAACUAGGCAAACCAAAGGCCCGACUGUUUACCAAAAACAUAGCCUUCAGCUAACAACAAGUAUUGAAGGUGAUGCCUGCCCAGUGACUUAUGUUUAACGGCCGCGGUAUCCUAACCGUGCGAAGGUAGCGCAAUCAAUUGUCCCAUAAAUCGAGACUUGUAUGAAUGGCUAAACGAGGUCUUAACUGUCUCUUGCAGAUAAUCAGUGAAAUUGAUCUUCCUGUGCAAAAGCAGGAAUAUGGACAUAAGACGAGAAGACCCUGUGGAACUUAAAAAUCGAGGACCAAUGCAUUUAACUUCCGAACCUACUGAGGCUCACUUUAUAUGCAAUAAUGGUCCCUAUUUUUCGGUUGGGGCGACCUUGGAGAAAAAAGAAUCCUCCAAAAAUAAGACCAUAAACCUUAACUAAGAACCACACCUCAAAGUACUAACAGUAACCAGACCCAAUAUAAUUGAUUAAUGAACCAAGCUACCCCAGGGAUAACAGCGCAAUCUCCUUCAAGAGCCCAUAUCGACAAGGAGGUUUACGACCUCGAUGUUGGAUCAGGACAUCCUAAUGGUGCAGCCGCUAUUAAGGGUUCGUUUGUUCAACGAUUAACAGUCCUACGUGAUCUGAGUUCAGACCGGAGCAAUCCAGGUCGGUUUCUAUCUAUGCAGCACUCUUCCCAGUACGAAAGGACCGGAAAAGUAAGGCCAAUACUAAAUAUGCACGCCUUCCCUCUAAUUAGUGAAAUCAACUCAACUAAGAAGAAAGCCCCCACAUAUAACUCACACCCUAGAAAAGGGUUA
rnacentral:rRNA from 1 species